CAUGGAGUUAGUUCAUGUGUGGACUGCCUGUUUGCACUGCUUUGUAUCCUGAUUGGUUGUUUGAAAUCACUGCCUGGCCAAAAAACAUUCCGUUAUCUGCAAAAGAUGAUAAUAUCCUGAAUUUCCUGCAGAAAAAAAAAAGCUGCUUGUUAGCACCAAUGCUAAUCUGAAAAAAUUGAUGCUAACACUCUGUGAAGUAGAAAAAAGAAAGAACUUGGGGAUUUUCCUAUCUCCUUUUACUUUUGGUUUCACAGGAAGCACCGUCCCACUCACCACUCGUGUCUGCACAGAGCAGAGCACUGUGUGUGCUGUCCCCAGGACCACGCUGCCUGCCAAGACCUCUGCCCACUGCCACCAGCACUAUGUCAAGCUCAAGCAGCAGUUCGGAGAAAACAAUUGAGAUGAAAAAUUUCCUUCUACACGAUGUCCUGCCUGAUCAUGAACGUAUUUUUAUGGAGGUACCAGAGAACAGCAUAAAGAUUGGGGACAUAGUGCUUUUCAACAUGGAGUCCAGCAGCAGUACUUCAACCAUCUUCAAGCACGCAACUGUCUAUUGUGGGGAGGGGGAGGUCAUCCACUUCCAGAAUAUCGAAAAAUCAAGUAAAGGGCGAAUAAGCAAAGAAGGAUUCCUGAUUAUGAGACAUCAGAGGGGGAAAUGCAAGGUUCUCAGGAAAAGGGAGGGGUUCAACCAUGAGACGUUCAAGAAGAAAGUCAAGGAGCUGAUGAACAGCACAGCCAAUUACAACUUAGUGAACAACAACUGCAUCAACUUUGCUCUCUAUCUGCUGGAUGUGGGGGAUUUCAGCUUUCAGUCCCCAAAUAGUCAUGGAGAGGAACCUGUCCUCGCAAGAUUGACUCACAACGAGAUCGUCUGAGAGGUGCCCAGAGGCUCGUACCCCAGCACACACGCCCAGAGGAGCUUUGUCCCCACAAUUCAUCUUUCCACACGUCUGCUUCCUUCAAAAGAUGACCUUUCUGUAGGCGUUCCUUUCCAUCUUUUUGCACUGGAUCAUUUAAUAGUCGGCUCUCAGCACCCCCUGCACAGGGGUACAAAUACUAACCAGCUGCUGUAUUGACUAUUUCCACUUGAAGACUGCCUGUUUUCACUGCCUUACUCUGUGUUGUUCAAAUAAUCAUAACAUUCAGAGUAAUUUGCAAAUAAGAACUGCCUAUCAAUAAUAGUGCUUAUCUGUGUAUAACAAUUCUUAUCAGUGACUUCUUGUACUACUAAUAUCUAUAGCCAAAUAAUAGUAUCCAAGGUAAUGGUAUCUCAAGUAAUUACAAUAAACAAUUGCUAUUCUUCUUAUACUACUAAUAGCUAUAUGCAAAUAAUAGUAUCCCAGAUAAUAGCAUCUCAAAAAAUUAUAAUAAAAAAUAAUAACCCAAAGAGUACCUAGAGAUUCCCUUGUCUUUAUGGGUGACUGCAACUUCCCAGAUGUCAUCUGGGACCAUCACACAGGAGUUCAGGAAAUUCCUGAAGCUUCCUGAAAAUUACAUUUUGGUUCAGGACUCAGGUCUUUGGUUAUCCUCUACAGAACCAGGAGCUGAUCCCAGAGGGCCCCUUCCAACCUGUGGCAUUGACUUGCAGAAUCAAACUCUAUAACCACAAAGUAGUUAUAAAAUCAGGUAUGUUUA
ensembl:lncRNA